rnacentral:rRNA from 1 species
UACAGAGGAUGCGAGCGUUAAUCGGAAUUACUGGGCGUAAAGCGCACGUAGGUGGCGACGUAAGUCGGGUGUGAAAGCCCCGGGCUCAACCUGGGAAUUGCAUUCGAGACUGCAUUGCUGGAGUACGGUAGAGGAGGGUGGAAUUCCCGGUGUAGCGGUGAAAUGCGUAGAUAUAGGAAGGAAUAUCGGUGGCGAAGGCGGCCUCCUGGACCAAUACUGACGCUGAGGUGCGAAAGCGUGGGGAGCAAACAGG